rnacentral:rRNA from 1 species
UACGGAGGGUGCAAACGUUGCUCGGAAUCAUUGGGCGUAAAGCGCACGUAGGCGGCCGCGUCAGUCGAGUGUGAAAGCCCGGGGCUUAACCCCGGAAGUGCGCUCGAAACUGCGAGGCUUGAGUACGGGAGAGGGUGGCGGAAUUCCCGGUGUAGAGGUGAAAUUCGUAGAUAUCGGGAGGAACACCAGUGGCGGAGGUGGCCACCUGGAUCGAUACUGACGCUGAGGUGCGAAAGCGUGGGUAGCAAACAGG